GACGUAGGAUGCAAGCGUUGUCCGGAAUUAUUGGGCGUAAAGAGCUCGUAGGCGGCUUGUCGCGUCGGCUGUGAAAGCCCGGGGCUUAACCCCGGGUCUGCAUUCGAUACGGGCAGGCUAGAGUUCGGUAGGGGAGAUCGGAAUUCCUGGUGUAGCGGUGAAAUGCGCAGAUAUCAGGAGGAACACCGGUGGCGAAGGCGGAUCUCUGGGCCGAUACUGACGCUGAGGAGCGAAAGCGUGGGGAGCGAACAGG
rnacentral:rRNA from 1 species